CGUCUUUGGAUUUCCCCAUCUAUAAAGAUGUUAAGUGUUGGACGAUGGGCUUGCAAGUUUCUUCUAAAACUUGGUGAUCACAUCUGUUCCAUGUGGACGGUCUAGGUACUAGGGAUACAGUGGUGUGAAAAAUCACCCUACGCAGAUCGUUCCUGCCUACAGGGAAUGAGGUAGGGGGAUGAAGACAGAGAGGUGAGAGGAUAAGGGGGUGGAGUUUAUGGGUAUGUUGAUAACAAGCAAAAAUAUGAACUCUACAAUGUUAGAGGGAGCAAACGCAAUGAAGAGCAAUGAGCAAGGGAAGGAGCUAGAGAGUGGUCAGGGAAAGCCUGUCUGGCCAUCAGUGCUUCCCAACUGAUUGGCUAUUUUUUUAGAAAGACAUUAAUAAAGGAUGUGCCAUAGAGCGGGUGGAGGACUCAGUGGGCAGAAGAGCCACUGAAGAAUCUACUAGAUACAGAAAAUGAUGGUCAUAGGUAAUGGUGGUCGUUCAUUAUUUUUGCAUACCGAUAUCCAAUUGUUCAAGUGUCACUUGUUGAAAAGACUACCAUUUUCCUACGGAGGAAAUAAUCCAAGUUUUAAAAAGUUCCACUUAGUGGUCAUUUCUAUGAACAAAAUGAAUAGUGCUGGAUAACAGAUGAGACUUACAUGAUUCAAAGGCAGUUACGUGAAGCCCUGGGGAAGAGCUUUCCAGGAGAGGCAACGGCAGGUGCACAAGCCCCGAGGUAAGAAAGGGAAAUGUCAAGACCAGAAGGCAGGCUGAUACGGAGGAAUCUUCCAGAAGAAGUCCAAAGGAUGAACUGAGACUGGACUUGAGGCAGGACCUUGUGAGCCCAGAUGGAGGUGGCAAUUGCCAAGUGGAGAAUAAGAAGAAGUGGAAAAAAAUGAAAAUAAGAAAGAUAAUAGGUGGAAGAGAGUCAGGCAGAGUGAAGGAAUCAAAGAGCGGCACAGGACCCUGAGAUCCGCCUAGCAUCCAUUAACAAGUAUUCACGGAGCACCGAUGUGUCAGGAACUGUCCUCCGCCCUGGGACCAUGCUGGGACAUGGACCGAGAAUAGUCACAUGUCUGUGGAGCUAGUGAGGGAGAGAGAUGCCAAAUAAUUAUGGAAAAGGUAUAUCUGCCAAGUAGAGUGAAGAACUAGAAACAACCUAAACGUGCAUCAGGAGUUCAAGACCAGCCCGGCCAAGAGACCAGCCUCGCCAACAUGGUGAAACCCCAUCUCUACUAAACAUACAAAAAUUAGCCGGGCGUGGUGGCGGGCACCUGUAAUCCCAGCUACUCAGGAGGCUGAGGCAGGAGAAUUGCUUGGACCCCAGAGGCAGAGGUUGCAGUGAACCGAGAUCGUGCCACUGCACUCCAGACUGGGUGACAGAGCAAGACUCCAUCUCAAAAAACAAACAAACAAAACCAAAAAGAAACGCCCCCUCACACAAAAAAGUGGAGUUAUAGGAAAAUAUAGCGUUAUAGAUGGCCUGUGCUGCGGCUUCCUCUCCCUCUCCUCCUCCCUCCUCUUCCCCCUCUCAUUUCCACCCCCACUUCUUUAGAAACAGGAUCUGAAGAAAACGCAUCACAUAUACAACACUAGAUACCCUUGAUGUUCCUGAGAUUGGGAAUAAGUGGUUAAAAGUGAAUUUAGGCCAGGGGCAGUGGCUCAUGCCUGUAAUCUCAGCACUUUGGGAGGCCGAGGUAGGAGGAUCACUUGACGUCAGGAGUUUGAGACCAGCCUGACCAAUAUGGUAAAACCCCAUCUCUACUAAAAAUACAAAAAUUAGCCAGGCAUGGUGGCACAUGCCUGUAGUCCCAGCUACUUGGGAGGCCAAGACAGGAGAAUCACUUGAACCCGGGAGGUGGAGGUUGCAGUGAGCCAAGAUUGUGCCACUGCACUCCAGUCUGGGCGACAGAGCGUGACUCCAUCUCAGAAAAAAUAAAAAAAUAAAAAAAAAAUGAAUUUAAUGUUUACCUUUAUCUUUAAAUUGUUGAUUAUCAUUUUAACUAAGAAAGUGCUGUUGUGUAUCACUUGUGCAAUUAGAAAUUAAAGCAUAGCACAAUGGAUUUCGUGUUUUGCAAGGGCUGUUUCAGCAGUUAUGGGAGUGGAAAAUAGAUUACAACAUUCUGAGAAGUAAAUGGGAGGUAAAGAGGCAGAAAUUGAAAUUAAGGGGAAGUGAAACAUAGGGCUACAGGAUGGGGGAAGACAGUCAAGGGAAACUUCUGUGUUGGUUUGCUUUUAACUGGAGUGACCCAAAAGCUCACUAAAAGGGCAUGUUGGCUUCUCCUCAGAGGGCGUUGCUGCUACGGUACAGCAAUGGAAUUUGUUUCUGAGCUGAGAUCACUCCCGUAAUUUACAUCCCAACUCUUCUGAUACAGAAAAGCCUAGAAGGAAGUUGGUGUGAAAUAAAAAUAGUUUGAUUGGUAGAAUCAAAUUAUAAUCUCUGUAUAAAGGCUAAACAUUUGCAUGGGGGAAAUGUUGCUUGAAAUAGGAUACAAAGGAAUGUCCACCAAUAGAGAAAUUAUUAAAUGUUAUAAUAACCUGUAGGGUAGACUAUUAGGUAGUUAUUAAAAAUCAUGUUUUUCAAGUUUUAGAAAAAUUUUAAAACAUGGGAAAAUGCUGGUAAUACAAUGUUUAAUUUUAAAAGUGCAUGCUAUGAAACUUUAUGCAGUUGAGUGCUUACAAAAUAGUAUUUCUGCAUAAAGAAAAAAAGAAGGAAAAGUGGUUAAAAUGUUAACAGUGGUUCUCUCUGGGUGAUGAGGAAAUUGGUGAUUUUAUUUUUCAUGCAUUUCUGUUGACACAACAAUUUUCCGUCAAAAACAUCAUUGCUUUUAUAAUUCCCCAAAGGAACUGUUUUUAAAACUGUAGUUUGAAAAUCAUUUAGGAGGGAAGACAGCCAAGGAAGGGUUCCUGUUUGACAAGCAAUCAGGCAAGCAGGCCGUAAGCAGCCUGGGCUUGGAUUUUGGAGUUUUUUUUCUCCCACCUUUUCCCCAGAUAUCAAAUGUCAGGCCUCCACACCAUUAAAAGGACCUAGAACCAUCAACUUCUCCAAGACUGGGUAACAAAAGUCAACUCUUUCCUGCUCCUAACUCAAGGGGGUGUUGUGUGUUCUUAACUUUAUAAGAGAAACACAGAACUCUAGGGAGCUAUAGACACAAGCUAGCAACAAAGAUGUGGCCCCUGUCUCCUCAGGCUGACCUGAACAAGUUGUGUGAUUCGCUGAGAGAAGGACUCUGCCCGCCUCCCUCAUACUGACCCCGCUGCUUUCCCCAACAUGGCAGGAGGCGAUGCAGCCUCGUGAUUAAGUCUGCAAACUGGGAAUCACACACUCCCAUUUGGAAUCUUUGCUUUUUUGCUUAACAGCUCUGUGGCUUCUGGCAAAUUCUGUAACUUCUUUACACCUCAGUUUUCUCAUGUGUAGAAAGGAGAUGAAGAACCCCACCUCACUGGGUUCCUCUGAAGAUUAAAUGGAAUAACUCCAUAGAGGAGAACAUGCAACAGUUACUGAAUCAAUGAUUUCAUUCUCAGGUUCUCUAAUUUUAUUUUCUUUUCAUCCUGCCUUAUGGCCAUAAUUCAGGUGAUAAAAUAAGAAAGGACAUGGCUGGCUGUGGUGGCUCUUGCCUGUAAUCCCAGAACUUUAGGAGGCCAAGAUGAGAAGAUUCCUUGAGGCCAGGAGUUCAAGACCAGCCUGAGCAACAUAGCUCAAAACAUUCUCUACAAAAAAAUGAAAAGAUUGCUGGGCAUGGUGGCAUGUGCCUGUAGUCUCAAUUACUUAGCAGUCUGAGGCAGAAGGAUCUCUUGAGCUCAGGAGUUUGAGGCUGCAGUGAGCCAUGACUACGCCACUGCACACCAGCCUGGGUGACAGACCAAGGCCCUGUCUCUUAAAAUAAAUAAAUAAAUAAAUAAUAAAAAAAAGGAUAAAGAAAAGAGAGUUUGAGGAGAAAGAUUCUCUCUCUCUCUCUUUUUUUUUUUUUUUGAGAUGGAGUCUCUCUCUGUUGCCCAGGCUGGAGUGGCAGUGGCAUGACCUCAGCCCACCUCAACCUCUGCCUCCCGGGUUCAAGCAAUUCUGCCUCAGCCUCCCGAGUAGCUGGGAUUACAGGUGCCUGCCACCACGCCUGGCUAAUUUUUGUAUUUUUAGUAGACAGAGCGUUUCGCCAUGUUGGCCAGGCUGGUCUUGAACUUCUGACCUCAGGUGAUCCACUCGCCUCGGCCUCCCAAAGUGCUGGGAUUACAGGCGUGAGCCACCAUGCCCAACCCACUGUGGCUUUCUAAAGCCAGACUUAGAGUUAACCAGAUCUGCUGAGAUCUUUCCUUACUUACACCUACUAAAGGUGAAUUUAUUGUUCUUUUGUUAAUGAAUACAUCAAAAUACUCGUAUCUUUUAUUAAUCUCAGAUAAAAGAUCACUAGAGUAUUGGAGGAAUCGUUUCUAAUACAACUUUUUCAGAAGAGGGGAAAGCAGCUUUUCAAAAUGAAAAUGAGGUCACUAUUUCGUUCACGUGACUGUCAUCUUGUGAAGUUCAUUUUAUUACAACCUGAUCUUAUAAAAAGAAUCUCAUUUUGGUUUAACUUUUUUAGGCUACCUAACAGAUAACUUAAAAGUUUAGCUGAGAGUAUUUAUUUCCAAAUUCCACAGUUGUCUUAAGAAAUUUUAGAAAAAAAGGCAAAACACUGUGUACAAAACAGUUCAAUGUGGUGUUAUCUAAAAUAGUGUGGUUUGUAGUAAUUCCACGUAUAAUAGUACAGCAAAAGAAAAAUGACUUAUUCAAGGCUUGUUACACUGACACCAUGAGAUAUCUUGUAGCCAUAAAAUUGUAAUCGUGUUGUUUAUGAGGAAAAAGAAACCAAAGCGAAAUAUAUCUGAUAUAAUUUUACAUACACAAAGCAUAAAACAAAAUAGUUUGCACUGAACUGGGGAGUCAGCCAGCGAGCAUUUAAUUGAGUGCCUACUAUAUGCCAGCUACUUUCAUAAGUAUGAAAUGGUCAAUGUAAAAAAUAUUUGCAAGGACUGUGUAAAAUUAAGAUUGUGCCGGGGAAUGGGAUUAUCAUGGUUGUUUUUCCGUUCUCUCCUCUAACGUUUAAAAAUACGUUGUGGUUUCAUAAUAAAGAAAAAUACAUGUCUGAAACAGCGUCAUAAUAAACGUUGCAGAUGCUGAUUUUGUGCUAACUUGAUGCCAGGCACUGCUCUGAGCAGUGUGUGUCUGUAUCUGAUUUACUUCCAUGAUGAUGGUAUUAUCACCAUAGAACAACGCCAUUAUUACCAUAAUAGCACCACGCCCAUUUUAUAGUGAAGAAACUGAGACAGGAUGUUCUAGCUCAGUGUCUUAGCUUGAACAAGCUCUCCCACUUAGCUCAGUGGGAAUCCAUGUUCUUAACCAAGACUUCCAGCAUAUCACACAGGGGUCUGCAAUACAGUUAUGCAUGUGGCAGCUCCUAUAGUAUUUUCUCGACAUUUGGCCUUUGGAGUGGCUCCCUCCCAUUAUACUGGGGUGUUCUGUGUUUUUCUGAUUUAUCACUCCCCUAAAUCUUUACUCAUAGGCAAUACUCAAUCAGGCAUUGAAUAAAUCAAUCAAUUCCCCUCUCAUAAAAGAGGCCAGGGAUAAUGUUGUUCACUUUCUUUUCUUUUAGAAGUGUCUGUCAGCUCCCUGAGAUUUUCAUAGAAUUUUUUUUUCCUACAUGCCCCACCACUGCCAGUUUCAACAGACAAGGCUAACUCAGUUCACUAGACAAGCAAACACUUCAACUGAGAAGGCAGUGAUAAACACAGGAAGUUAUUUCACCCUGGGAAUAUUCCGGAAACCAACUUUGAAUAAUUGCUUCAUGUUCAGUUGGACACAAGUUCACUCCCAGGUUGACUCACGUAUGUAAAUGCUCCUGACUACCAUCUGACUGCAUCACACACACACCCCUACCUUUCCAAAAUGCUAACUACACAGCAUGAAUCAGCCGCUCCUGAUUCAGAGCCCCGAGUCCUUCAUCAUCAACCUGGGCUCCUGCCUUUGUCUCCUACCCUCAUCCAGUCCAACAGCAAACCCCACCCGCCCCAUCUUCUAAAUAAAUCCAGAAUCUGAUCACUCCUCACCAUCCUGCAGCAGCACCUCAGUCAAAUUCCAGUCAUCACUGAGCUGCGUGACAGCAACAGCCUCCAAACUCCUCUCCCCGUUUCUUCCAUUGGAAGGCUUGGAGCUGAUCUGACUUAAAUUUUAAAAGACUCAUUCUGGCCGCUGUGUGGAGGGUGCACUGGAAGCUCACCUCUUUCUCUGGACCAAUUUCUAUCUGCUUUUUCCCUUCACAUCUAAAAUAGGUGCUCCCCGGGGAUUUGGCUCCUGAUCUUAUACAUACAUGUAUAUAUAUAUAUGGGGCGUGUGUAUAUAUAUACACACACACACACACGCACACACACAUAUUUGAAAUGGAGUCUCACUCUGUCACCUAGGCUGGAGUGCAGUGGCGUAAUCUCGGUUCACUGUAACCUCUGCCUCCCGGGUUCAAGUGAUUCUCCUGCCUCAGCCUCCCGAGUAGCUAGGACUAUAGGCAGGCACCACCACGCCUGGCUAAUUUUUGUAUUUUUAGUAGAGAUGGGGUUUUGCCAUGUUGGCCAGGCUGGUCUUGAAUACCUGGGAUUACAGGAGUGAGCCACUGUGCCCGGCCGCUGAUCCAAUAUUUUACAAAGUUUGUGAAGAGGAUGACUAAUUCGUGGAAUCACAGGUUUUAAUAAGUUCAGGGGCACUGGGCUCAGCAACUUGCAACUGGUUAUUUACUGCAGGGAUUCUCAGAACCUUUAGUAUCCUCACGUGUCCUGGGGAUCCUCAAGAGAAAGACAACAGUGGGUGUUUUCAAACCAUGAUGUUGUCUCAGAUUCCUCCAGGGCUUGCUCCCUUUGUCCUUCAGGUUCAUGCUCCAUGUCACCUCCUCAGAGAAGCUGUCGCUGGCUAUCCAUAACAUCCCGUCCUCUUUCCCUGACUUAGUAUUUUGGGAUGUGUGGCAUUUAUCAACAUUAAUAAAACGAUAUCUCUUUUUUCCUAUUUAUUACUAUUAUUUUUGCUUAUGUAACCUCUUGAAUUAUCUUUGCUGAUUAGUUUCUGCUACUUAGAGUCAGUAACCCAGAAUCUAUUAAUAUAACCUUCAGGAGUGUGCAUGACGAAGUUAUAUUCUGUCCUGCUUAGUCUUCAGUGGUCACACGUUUUUUGUUUUUUGUUAGACAAAACAAAACAAAAACCCAAAAACGUGUGACCACUGAAGGUCAAACGUGUGACCCUGCUCUGUUGCCCAGGCUGGAGUGCAGUGAUGCCAUCUCAGCUCCCUGCAACCUCCGCCUCCCAGUCUCAAGCAAUCCUCCCAUCUCAGCCUCCUGAGUAGCUGGGACUAAGGGCACACACCACUACACCCAGCUAAUUUUUUUGUAUCUUUUUUUUUUUUUGAAGGAGUUUUUGGUCUUGUUGCCCAGGCUGGAAGCAAUGGCGGGAUCUCGGCUCACUGCAACUUUUGCCUCCCGGUUUCAAGCAAUUCUCCUGCCUCAACCUCCUGAGUAGCUGGGAUUACAGGCAUGCACCACCAAGCCUGGCUAGUUUUGUUUUUUGUUUUUUGUUUUUUUUUUGAGACGGAGUCUCCCUCUUUCGCCCAGGCCAGACUGCAGUGGCGCGAUCUCGGCUCACUGCAAGCUCCGCCUCCUGGGUUCACGCCAUUCUCCUGCCUCAGCCUCCAGAGUAGCUGGGACUGCAGGCGCCCGGCUAAUUUUUUGUAUUUUUAGUAGAGACAGGGUUUCACCAUGUUAGCCAGGACGGACUCGAUCUCCUGACCUCGUGAUCUGCCCGCCUCGGCCUCCCAAAGUGCUGGGAUUACAGGUGUGAGCCACCGUGCUCUGCCUAGUUUUGUAUUUUUAAUAGAGACGGGGUUUCUCCAUGUUGGUCAGGCUGGUCUCGAACUCCCAACCUCAGGUUAUCCGCCCGCCUCAGCCUUUCAAAGUAGUGGGAUUACAGGCGUGAGCCACCGCACCUGGCCUUUUUUUUUUGUAUCUUUAGUAGAGAUGGGGUUUUGCCAUGUUGCCCAGGCUGGUUUCAAACUCCUGAGCUCAAGCAAUCUGCCUGCCUUGGUCUCCCAAAGGAUGGGAUUACAGGCAUGAGCCGCCCGUGCCCGGCCUUUGUUUUUCCUAUUUAUUAUCUGACUUUCCCCGCUAGACUGUAAGAUCCAGGAGAGCAAGAGCUUUGUCAGCCUCGCUCUCUGUGCAGCUAGACUGUAAGAUCCAGGAGAGCAAGAACUUUGUCAGCCUCGCUCUCUGUGCAUCUUCAGUUUCUACAACAGCACGUAACAUGCAGUAGGUGCUCUCAUUAAAUCUUGUUGAAUGGACACAGGUGUAUUGAUUUUCUAUCAUUAUGUAGCAAAUCACUGCAGAGUUAGUCACUUAAAACAAUACCCAUUUACUGUCUAACAGUUUGAGACUCUGGGUAUAAGUUAGAUGGGUCCUUCGCUUUGAGUCUCACUCGGCUGAAAUCAACAUGUUGGUCAGGGUUGUCAUCUCAUUUGAGGCCUGGGUCCUCUUCUGAGCCCACUAGUUUUUGACAGAAUUCAGUUCCUGGGCAGUUGUAGGACUGAGGGACUCAGCUCCUGGAGCUCCUAGUUGGCCGCUGUGUUGUUCUCUCCACAGCAUGGCAGUUUGUCUUGUGUCCCAUACAAAGCCAUGGGACAACGUCUGCUGCUGCUUCCCUAGUUCCUUUUAAGGGAUCACCUGAUUAAACCAGGCCUACCCAGGAUAAACUUCCUCUUGAUCAAAUCAGAGUCAACUGACUGGGGACCUUAGAUACAACAUUCUUUUACCUUUGUCAUGUAACUUAAUCAUAGUAGUGAAAGCUCAUCAAUUCAAAGGUCCAGCCAAUGUUCCAGGUAAGGGGAUUAUGGAUGCCAUGUACACCAGGUCAAGGAGGGGACAAUCUUGGGGACCACUUUAGAAUUCUGCCUAGCACAAUGUGAAGCUUUAUAUCCCUUAGAAUACCUUAUAGGAUUGGUGGUCCUCUGGGAAAUGCUUUGAGAAAGGUGCUUUCUCUUCCCCAAUUCAUCAACCUCAUUUCUUAAACUAGAGAGCAUAUCUGCAGACAGCUCUGGGGGCUGAGCAGGUAAGAAGAGUUCUGUGGGGAUUGUGUAAAAGUGAGACUAAGCCCCAGCAAAGGGGAAGGGUCAUUUGGUGUCCUAUAUUUUGUCCGUGAUCCCCCAACUUCCAAUAUUUCAAGAGAACAUGGAAAUCUGAAUUUGCAUAUGCAUUUUUCUGGUGUUUAAAUCUUGGAAACAAAUUCAAGUUUUAGCAGAAUGCGUUGCCCUUUCCCGAAGAAACAUGACUGUAGGCUGUACUGGGGAGGUUGCGUUGAAAAUUGUUGCUGAAAUGAUCACUGUCUUUUGAAGGCUACUGCACCCAUAUCUUUGACUGGAAACUCUUCUCUGAAGUGUCAUUUACAUUUCUACUUGCUUGCAUGGUGGAAAUGUUUCUUGAGCUCAGAACAGAAAGUCCACUAACAGUUUCAUCAUAUUUUUACUCCCUCCUCAUAGUCACACGUCCUUCCUGGUGGGGUUAAGGGUUUUCACAUACACCUGUUCAACCAACCUCAGACCUCAGUGAUGUUUAUGACUUGUUCUGUCUCUGUCACUUUCCUAACAUCCAACUAUCAUGGGGUGAAAAAAAUCGCUCUUAGAAAAGCUGCUUGAAGCCCUCUCUCUCCUGGCAGGAGGGCAGGAGGAUGUAUUUAUGGAGAAAGUUUGCUUUUUCCUUGGAAAAUCAUGCUAAUAGAACUUGAAUUACAGAAUUUAAAGCCUGUCAGGGAGGAAAGUGACAAAUUAACCUACUUGGAAGAGAAAUGGAAAAGCAGGUCUUAUGAAUGAUCAGAUUCUGUCACUUCCCUGCCCAAAAUGCUCUAGCAUCUUCCUAUCAAGUUCAGGCUAAAAUCCAGGUCUUACCAUCAUGGUUACAAGGUCUUUCUGGUUUCUGACAGCCUGUCCAACAUUAUCCAAGGGCACACGAGCUCUUUUCAAUGUGUCAAAUGUGCAUUCACCUUAGGGCUUGUACAGUACCUCUUCCUUUUGUCUGGAAUGCUUUUCUUCCUCAUAUUUGCAUGAUUCACUCCCCAGUCUAUGAAACUCUGUGGUCAAAUGUCAUCUUAAAAGAGCCUUUCCCUGAUCAACCCAACUAAAUUCACAUGCCCUUUUCUCGGUAUUACUCCACUUUUUCAUUUACUAAUAGCAUAUUCCAGUUUUUGACAUCUUAUCACUAGUUGUUUGUUUAUUGCCUGUUUCCUGUACCAAAAUAUAAGCUCCUUGAAGGGAAGAACUUUGUUUUGUUCACUUCUUUAUUCUAAGAAAUUAGAACAGUGCCUUAUCCACAGCAUAGAUUCUCAGUAAAUAUUUAUUCAAUGAAUGAACGAAUGCAAGGAUGGAUGAACAAAUGAAUGGUAGGUCUGUUAAUCUAUCAAUAAGAGGUGUUGCAUCUCUGCAAAGAGAUGUUUUGUUGUACAUUUAUUUUCUUUUCAUAACUGUCUUUAUUAUCUCCUUGUUUCUAAUUUUUCUAGGUUUGAUUGCUUUUAUUUUUCUAAUUUUCUAAAGUGUGUGCUUAGGUCAUUGAUUUUCUUCCUCUCUUGUUAGCUAAUAUGUGUAUUUAAAGAUAAACAUUUCCCUAUAAGCACAGCUUUAGCUGAAUCCUACAUUUUGAUAUGUCAAAUAAAUAUUUUCUAAUUUCUACUGUGAUUUCUCUUAAAUCAUGAGCUAUUUGGAUUGCUUUGCCUCAUUUUCAAUUAUUUAGACAUUUUCUUAUCCUUAGUUAUUGGUUUCUAGCUAAUUCCACUGUAGUCAGAGAACAUAUUGUGUGUUUUUAGCAUUUGAAGUUUGUUGAGACCUACUCCAUAGUCCAGCAUGUGACAACUUUUGUUAAAUGUUCCGUGUGCACUUAGAAAAAGAAGAGGUAGUGUGCAGUUAUUGGUUGGUUUGUUCUACAAAUGUCAGUUAGGCUGAGUGUGUAAAUAGUGCUGGUCAAAAUUUCUCCAUUCUUACUGACUUAAAUUAUCUUUUUGUUUAUCAGUUGCUGAUAGAAAUAGGUUAAAGCCUACUUCUAUAAUUGUGGAUUUAUUUCUCCUUUUAGAUCUGGCAGUUUCUGCUUUAUGUAUAUUGAAACUAUUCUAGCAGGUACUGUAGAUUUAGAAUUGCUUUUUCUUGUAGGAUUGACCCUUUUUGUUAUUAUAAGAUAAUCCUCUUUACCUUUUAUAUUGUUUCUUUUCUUAAAGUGUAUUUCAUCUGAU
rnacentral:lncRNA from 1 species